rnacentral:rRNA from 1 species
CCGCCCGUCACACCACGGGAGUUGGAGACGCCCGAAGCCGAUUAUCUAACCUUUUGGAAGAAGUCGUCGAAGGUGGAAUCAAUAACUGGGGUGAAGUCGUAACAAGGUAGCCGUAUCGGAAGGUGCGGCUGGAUCACCUCCUUU